GGAGGAGUGGCAGAGUGGUCGAUUGCACCGGUCUUGAAAACCGGCGUACGUGAAAGCGUACCGUGGGUUCGAAUCCCACCUCCUCCGCCA
rnacentral:tRNA from 2 species